UACGUAGGUGGCAAGCGUUGUCCGGAUUUACUGGGCGUAAAGAGCGCGCAGGCGGUCGUUCAAGUCGCGUGUGAAAGCCCCCGGCUCAACUGGGGAGGGUCACGCGAUACUGAUCGACUCGAAGGCAGGAGAGGGUAGUGGAAUUCCCGGUGUAGUGGUGAAAUGCGUAGAUAUCGGGAGGAACACCAGUGGCGAAAGCGGCUUCCUGGACCAGCACCGACGUUCAGGCACGAAAGCGUGGGGAGCAAACAGG
rnacentral:rRNA from 1 species